rnacentral:rRNA from 1 species
GCUAGUUGUGCGGGUUUAGACCCGCAGCGGAAGCUCAGUAACACGUGGCCAAACUACCCUGUGGAUGGGAACAAUCUCGGGAAACUGAGGCUAAUUCCCAAUAACGCUCCAGCCCUGGAACGGGCGGAGCUGGAAACGCUACGGCGCCACAGGAUGUGGCUGCGGUCGAUUAGGUAGACGGUGGGGUAACGGCCCACCGUGCCAAUAAUCGGUACGGGUUGUGAGAGCAAGAGCCCGGAGACGGAAUCUGAGACAAGAUUCCGGGCCCUACGGGGCGCAGCAGGCGCGAAACCUUUACACUGUACGCAAGUGCGAUAAGGGGACUCCGAGUGUGAAGGCAUAGAGCCUUCACUUUUGUACACCGUAAGGUGGUGUACGAAUAAGGGCUGGGCAAGACCGGUGCCAGCCGCCGCGGUAAUACCGGCAGCCCGAGUGAUGGCCGAUAUUAUUGGGCCUAAAGCGUCCGUAGCUGGCCGGACAAGUCCGUUGGGAAAUCUGUUCGCUUAACGAGCAGGCGUCCAGCGGAAACUGUUCGGCUUGGGACCGGAAGACCUGAGGGGUACGUCCGGGGUAGGAGUGAAAUCCUGUAAUCCUGGACGGACCACCGGUGGCGAAAGCGCCUCAGGAGGACGGAUCCGACAGUGAGGGACGAAAGCUAGGGUCUCGAACCGGAUUAGAUACCCGGGUAGUCCUAGCUGUAAACGAUGCCCGCUAGGUGGUGGCGCAGGCUACGAGCCUGCGCUGUGCCGUAGGGAAGCCGAGAAGCGGGCCGCCUGGGAAGUACGUCUGCAAGGAUGAAACUUAAAGGAAUUGGCGGGGGAGCACUACAACCGGAGGAGCCUGCGGUUUAAUUGGACUCAACGCCGGACAUCUCACCAGCUCCGACAGUAAUAAUGACGGUCAGGUUGAUGACCUUACCCG